rnacentral:rRNA from 1 species
CGAGACUGCCGGUAAUAAACCGGAGGAAGGUGGGGAUGACGUCAAAUCAUCAUGCCCCUUAUGACCUGGGCUACACACGUGCUACAAUGGCUGGUACAACGAGUCGCAAGCCGGUGACGGCAAGCUAAUCUCUGAAAGCCAGUCUCAGUUCGGAUUGUAGGCUGCAACUCGCCUACAUGAAGUCGGAAUCGCUAGUAAUCGCGGAUCAGCACGCCGCGGUGAAUACGUUCCCGGGCCUUGUACACACCGCCCGUCACACCACGAGAGUUUGUAACACCCGAAGUCGGUGAGGUAACCGCAAGGAGCCAGCCGCCUAAGGUGGGAUAGAUGAUUGGGGUGAAGUCGUAACAAGGUAGCCGUAUCGGAAGGUGCGGCUGGAUCACCUCCUUU